CAAGUUGAAACGUUUUUUUUCAAGGGUGCCUUGCCCCCUUGAAAGGGGGAGGGGGGAAGGGGUGAUUAACCACGUGGGGAAACUUGCCCAUGGGUGGGGGAUAACCUUCGGAAACGGAUGCUAAUACCGCAUACGUUUCUUUUUCGCAUGGAAGAGAAGAUUAAAGACGGCUUCGGCUGUUGCUCAGGGAUAGCCCCGCGGCGUUUUAGCUAGUUGGUGAGGUAACUGCUCACCAAGGCUGUGAUACGUAGCCGACCUGAGAGGGUGAUCGGCCACACUGGGAUUGAGACACGGCCCAGACUCCUACGGGGGGCAGCAGUAGGGAAUCUUCCGCAAUGGACGAAAGUCUGACGGAGCAAUGCCGCGUGAGUGAAGAAGGUUUUCGGAUCGUAAAGCUCUGUUAUCGGGGAAGAACAAGGAUCGGAGUAACUGCCGGUCCCUUGACGGUACCCGACCAGAAAGCCACGGCUAACUACGUGCCAGCAGCCGCGGUAAUACGUAGGUGGCAAGCGUUGUCCGGAUUUAUUGGGCGUAAAGCGAGCGCAGGCGGUUCUUUAAGUCUGAUGUGAAAGCCCACGGCUUAACCGUGGAGGGUCAUUGGAAACUGGAGAACUUGAAUACAGAAGAGGAAAGUGGAAUUCCAUGUGUAGCGGUGAAAUGCGUAGAUAUAUGGAGGAACACCAGUGGCGAAGGCGACUUUCUGGUCUGUUAUUGACGCUGAGGCUCGAAAGCGUGGGGAGCAAACAGGAUUAGAUACCCUGGUAGUCCACGCCGUAAACGAUGAGUGCUAGGUGUCGGGGG
rnacentral:rRNA from 1 species